rnacentral:lncRNA from 1 species
GAGAGCCCCGGCUCCGGCUCCGGGCCCGGCCCCGCUCUGCCCACGGAGGAGAAGCCGCGGCCCAGCCCGAGGCCCGUCCUGCCGCAGCUCGGGGGAUGCCCAGGACACCAGGCUGGACGUGGGUUCACCCUACCUGUUGCUCAUUUUCUGGCUGAUGAAUUGUAGGUCUCUGGUCAUGAGAGUUCACUGGGCAUAUCCUGGUAAGGGAAUUUUUAAAAAAUUUGGAUUUUUAAGAAAGAGUUUUCCUAAACUUACCCUGGGUCUGGCACCAACAGGCUGCCAGGAUGGGCUGAGAGCCUCCAUGGCAAGUGUGUGGGGACUAGUGAGAGCCCAUGGUGACCACGUGGGGAAAAAGAGGAGCCAAAAUCUCUGUGGCCACCAGCACUUUCCUUGCUGACCACUUGGCCCAAGGUCUCAAGCAUCUGGAUUUUUUUCUGUGUUUAACAUUUUUUUUUUGUGGGUUUGUUAACUCGUAAUGCCCAAGCCCGGGGAGAGGUCUGUCUCAUCCAGGAGAACAAAAACAGGGGAGGGGGGGUUACCUGUUAAAUGGCAAGGAGAUAAUAAAGGUGUUUCUGUUGUGUUUGGUUUUAGCUCAGACUGGCUCAUUACUCUGUGAAUCAGGAGUGGGGGUUAGAUGCAAAGCCCCACCCUCCAAAAGGCACGAGGAGCUGCCAGCAGGACCUUGUCUCCAGGGACCCUCAGCAGAAGCCCCUCACCACGGCUGAUCCCACCUCAUCUUCCUCCUCCUCUCCCUGCUCUGCCCGCAGAGCCUGGCCUGGAGCAUGAUGCGAUCCUGAUUUACAGCAGAGCCUGUCCAGGCUGCCCAGGGCUGCUGACCAGCACCGGGGGACACAGCCAGGCUGCAGAGGACACCGGGACGUGCCCACCCUGCCCACUGCACUGCGGGCCACUCGCCGGUGAAGAACGGAAGGCUGGAAGAAUAGGAAAAUUUUUUACAAAAAAGAAGAAAAGAAAGAAAAAGAGUCGCCAACCCCAGGAAAUCUGUGUUAAUUGCUUAUGAAUGUCUCUGUCUAAAAAAUUAUCGAAUUGAUGUUGUCGUGCUUUUUUUUGACAGCCUGUCUGUUACAUUUUUUUAAAAUAUUCAUGCACCGAAAUCUAAUUACUAGGCAAAUUUAAUGAUAAUGAAAUGAAGGCACUUUAGCAGAAAGCAUAGGGCCUUGUUAAUGUUUUCUCAGCCUCUGUCUUGUUCAUAUUUUUAAAAUUAUUUUUUUUACAACUGUCUUUCUUCCAUAUGAAAAAAAAAAGAUUGCUGAAAAUAAAACUCAGAUUGCCGAUAAUGUUUGUGGUGGU